rnacentral:rRNA from 1 species
GUGGGGAAUAUUGCACAAUGGGCGCAAGCCUGAUGCAGCCAUGCCGCGUGUAUGAAGAAGGCCUUCGGGUUGUAAAGUACUUUCAGCGAGGAGGAAGGCAUUAAGGUUAAUAACCUUAGUGAUUGACGUUACUCGCAGAAGAAGCACCGGCUAACUCCGUGCCAGCAGCCGCGGUAAUACGGAGGGUGCAAGCGUUAAUCGGAAUUACUGGGCGUAAAGCGCACGCAGGCGGUCUGUCAAGUCGGAUGUGAAAUCCCCGGGCUCAACCUGGGAACUGCAUUCGAAACUGGCAGGCUAGAGUCUUGUAGAGGGGGGUAGAAUUCCAGGUGUAGCGGUGAAAUGCGUAGAGAUCUGGAGGAAUACCGGUGGCGAAGGCGGCCCCCUGGACAAAGACUGACGCUCAGGUGCGAAAGCGUGGGGAGCAAACAGGAUUAGAAACCCGAGUAGUCC